rnacentral:rRNA from 1 species
UACGGAGGGUGCAAGCGUUAAUCGGAAUUACUGGGCGUAAAGGGUGCGUAGGUGGUUUGAUAAGUUAACUGUGAAAGCCCUGGGCUCAACCUGGGAAGGCCAGUUAAGACUGUUGGACUAGAGUAUGGGAGAGGAUAGUGGAAUUUCCGGUGUAGCGGUGAAAUGCGUAGAGAUCGGAAGGAACACCAGUGGCGAAGGCGGCUAUCUGGCCUGAUACUGACACUGAAGCACGAAAGCGUGGGGAGCAAACAGG